GACGAACGUUGGCGGCGUGCUUAACACAUGCAAGUCGAACGGAAAGGCCCUGCUUUUGUGGGGUGCUCGAGUGGCGAACGGGUGAGUAACACGUGAGUAGCCUGCCCUUGACUUUGGGAUAACUUCAGGAAACUGGGGCUAAUACCGGAUAGGAGCUCCUGCUGCAUGGUGGGGGUUGGAAAGUUUCGGCGGUUGGGGAUGGACUCGCGGCUUAUCAGCUUGUUGGUGGGGUAGUGGCUUACCAAGGCUUUGACGGGUAGCCGGCCUGAGAGGGUGACCGGCCACAUUGGGACUGAGAUACGGCCCAGACUCCUACGGGAGGCAGCAGUGGGGAAUAUUGCACAAUGGGCGGAAGCCUGAUGCAGCAACGCCGCGUGCGGGAUGACGGCCUUCGGGUUGUAAACCGCUUUCGCCUGUGACGAAGCGUGAGUGACGGUAAUGGGUAAAGAAGCACCGGCUAACUACGUGCCAGCAGCCGCGGUGAUACGUAGGGUGCGAGCGUUGUCCGGAUUUAUUGGGCGUAAAGGGCUCGUAGGUGGUUGAUCGCGUCGGAAGUGUAAUCUUGGGGCUUAACCCCUGAGCGUGCUUUCGAUACGGGUUGACUUGAGGAAGGUAGGGGAGAAUGGAAUUCCUGGUGGAGCGGUGGAAUGCGCAGAUAUCAGGAGGAACACCAGUGGCGAAGGCGGUUCUCUGGGCCUUUCCUGACGCUGAGGAGCGAAAGCGUGGGGAGCGAACAGGCUUAGAUACCCUGGUAGUCCACGCUGUAAACGGUGGGUACUAGGUGUGGGGUCCAUUCCACGGGUUCCGUGCCGUAGCUAACGCUUUAAGUACCCCGCCUGGGGAGUACGGCCGCAAGGCUAAAACUCAAAGGAAUUGACGGGGCCCCGCACAAGCGGCGGAGCAUGCGGAUUAAUUCGAUGCAACGCGUAGAACCUUACCUGGGUUUGACAUGGAUCGGGAGUGCUCAGAGAUGGGUGUGCCUCUUUUGGGGUCGGUUCACAGGUGGUGCAUGCCUGUCGUCAGCUCGUGUCGUGAGAUGUUGGGUUAAGUCCCGCAACGAGCGCAACCCUUGUUCACUGUUGCCAGCACGUUAUGGUGGGGACUCAGUGGAGACCGCCGGGGUCAACUCGGAGGAAGGUGGGGAUGACGUCAAGUCAUCAUGCCCCUUAUGUCCAGGGCUUCACGCAUGCUACAAUGGCUGGUACAGAGAGUGGCGAGCCUGUGAGGGUGAGCGAAUCUCGGAAAGCCGGUCUCAGUUCGGAUUGGGGUCUGCAACUCGACCUCAUGAAGUCGGAGUCGCUAGUAAUCGCAAAUCAGCAACGCUGCGGUGAAUACGUUCCCGGG
rnacentral:rRNA from 1 species